CAGUAGCCACGGUAAUACGAAGGGUGCAAGCGUUAAUCGGAAUUACUGGGCGUAAAGCGUGCGUAGGCGGUUUGUUAAGUCUGCUGUGAAAUCCCCGGGCUCAACCUGGGAAUGGCGGUGGAUACUGGCAAGCUAGAGUGUGUCAGAGGAUGGUGGAAUUCCCGGUGUAGCGGUGAAAUACGUAGAUAUUCGGAAGAACACCAGUGGCGAAGGCGGCUUACUGGCUCAUUCUAGACGCUGAGGUGCGAAAGCGUGGGGAGCAAACAGGAUUAGAUACCCCCGUAGUCCCUGUCUCUUAUAC
rnacentral:rRNA from 1 species